ensembl:snRNA U6 U6 spliceosomal RNA
GCGCUCAGUUCAGCAGCACAUAUACUAAAAUUGGCAUGAUACAGACAUCAGCCAGGCCCCUGCGCAAGUGAAGCGUCCCAUAGUUUU